rnacentral:lncRNA from 1 species
UAAAUAUAUAGCAUCGAGGUUAAUUAAUCCGGUUUCGCACAUAGUGAAGCACCAAAAACCCUAAUUCCCAUCUCCUUCUCCUUCAGAUCCAUCAUGACGACGAGAGCAAUUGCAUCAUCCUUCAAACGCCGCCUUUUCUCCACCACCACCUCCACCUCCACCUCCACCUCUACCUACACCACCACCGUAGCCGGAGCACUCUCCAAACCUUCAUCUCUCACAUCCCCUCGAUUCAUCAUCCCAAUGUCCCAAACCAUCUUCCAAUCACUCCAUUUCGGCGGGAUUCACCGGGCCGGUUACUGCAACUACUCGCCGCUAGUACCGGGGUCCAACACCUCCUUCAGUGACCGUCCUCCUGCUGAGAUGGCUCCGCUUUUCCCUGGUUGUGAUUACAAUCACUGGCUUAUUAUUAUUGAUAAGCCUGGUGGUGAAGGUGCUAC